AUUGAACGCUGGCGGCAGGCCUAACACAUGCAAGUCGAACGAGUGGCGGACGGGUGAGUCAUGUCUGGGAAACUGCCUGAUGGAGGGGGAUAACUACUGGAAACGGUAGCUAAUACCGCAUACCAUACGAUGUGCCCAGAUGGGAUUAGCUAGUUGGUGGGGUAACGGCUCACCACGGCGACGAUCCCUAGCUGGGCUGAGAGGAUGACCGGCGACACUGGAACUGAGACACGGUCCAGACUCAUACGGGUGGCAGCAGUGGGGAAUAUUGCAUAAUGGGCGAAAGGCUGAUGCAGCCAUGCCGCGUGUAUGAAGAAGGCCUUCGGGUUGUAAAGUACGUUCAGCGGGGAGGCGUUACCCGCAGAAGAAGCACCGGCUGACUCCGUGCCAGCAGCCGGUAAUUC
rnacentral:rRNA from 1 species